rnacentral:rRNA from 1 species
CAUUACCGAGUUAUACAACUCAUCAACCCUGUGAACAUACCUAUAACGUUGCCUCGGCGGGAACAGACGGCCCCGUAACACGGGCCGCCCCCGCCAGAGGACCCCCUAACUCUGUUUCUAUAAUGUUUCUUCUGAGUAAACAAGCAAAUAAAUUAAAACUUUCAACAACGGAUCUCUUGGCUCUGGCAUCGAUGAAGAACGCAGCGAAAUGCGAUAAGUAAUGUGAAUUGCAGAAUUCAGUGAAUCAUCGAAUCUUUGAACGCACAUUGCGCCCGCCAGUAUUCUGGCGGGCAUGCCUGUUCGAGCGUCAUUACAACCCUCAGGCCCCCGGGCCUGGCGUUGGGGAUCGGCGGAAGCCCCCUGCGGGCACAACGCCGUCCCCCAAAUACAGUGGCGGUCCCGCCGCAGCUUCCAUUGCGUAGUAGCUAACACCUCGCAACUGGAGAGCGGCGCGGCCACGCCGUAAAACACCCAACUUCUGAAUGUUGACCUCGAAUCAGGUAGGAAUACCCGCUGAACUUAAGCAUAUCAAUAAGCGGAGGAAA